rnacentral:rRNA from 1 species
GACGAACGCUGGCGGCGUGCCUAAUACAUGCGAGUCGAGCGAAGUUUUUCUGGUGCUUGCACUAGAAAAACUUAGCGGCGAACGGGUGAGUAACACGUAAAGAACCUGCCUCAUAGACUGGGACAACUAUUGGAAACGAUAGCUAAUACCGGAUAACAGUAUUUCUCGCAUGAGAGAUAUUUAAAAGUUGGUUAUGCUAACACUAUGAGAUGGCUUUGCGGUGCAUUAGCUAGUUGGCGGGGUAAAGGCCCACCAAGGCGACGAUGCAUAGCCGACCUGAGAGGGUGAUCGGCCACACUGGGACUGAGACACGGCCCAGACUCCUACGGGAGGCAGCAGUAGGGAAUCUUCCGCAAUGGGCGAAAGCCUGACGGAGCAACGCCGCGUGAGUGAAGAAGGAUUUCGGUUCGUAAAGCUCUGUUGUUAGGGAAGAAUGGAUAUGUAGUAACUAUACAUGUAAGAGACGGUACCUAACCAGAAAGCCACGGCUAACUACGUG